UCUUGCCUUGCCUUAGGAAUAAUUUCGUUUUUCAAAAGUUGGAAAACCAACAGAGUUGCUGCUACUGAGUCUCAUCACCAAGAAGGAAUUAGGAGCUGAAGAAGAAAUGAUGGGAACCUUGGGAGGAGGGAGCUGCUUCAUUUUUGAGAUUGUGAUACAGAUGGAAGAGGACUUGAGUCUGACACGCAGCCUAGAUUUCAAAGGAAAUUAUUUCAAAGGGUUCAGAGAUAGCUCUAAUAUUUUAAGAUUCUUGUGGACCAGCACCUCCGAUGUGAAGGCUUGCUAAGCCCUUUUCAGGGCUGUUCAUCCACUUUUCGUAUCCACCUGGCACUCAACUCUCACCUGUGACUCCAAGAAGCUGUAGCAUGUGCAGCGGCCACACCUUGAUAAACUGUCUCAGGUACUAAAUGAUCUAUGAAGUCUCUGGGAUUCCAUGAUAAGGCAAAGAAACCAUUUGUCCACUGUGAUGACAUACCCAAACAUCGGAACCAUUCCUGGCCUAUACCUAUGGAAUUCAGGCUGAUCCAAAGUGGCCAGAGGAAGUACGAGGUACACACCAGGAUCGACUACAGUAUAGAGAACGGCUAACUGCAAGGAGGUUUCAGAGACAAUCCACCCUUCCAUCCAGGCCAAGUCCACAAGAUAACCCAAGAUUUGCCAUCCUAGAGUGAGCUCUCCAGAGUAUUCCAAUUCGACUCCAUGCCCAAGAACGUGAGAGAUGCAGGAUGGAGGAGAUACUUCUGGAACCAUGCCAGAUGCUUAACAAAGAAGCCUGCUAAGGAUAGAACAAGUACGGACUGAGCCAGGCUAAAUCCCCCUUGGGCGGCUUCUGAUUUCCAGUAUCUGACAUUUAGAUGAAACUUUAUAGUUUAAAAGUACUUUGCAUUUGUGUGUCAUAUGAGCCCUACAACAUGUAAGGGAAUAAAGGGGUUGAGCAGAGGAUAAAGGGUUCCCUAAUCAACAUGCUGAGAUUUCUAGAUGUGCACUUUUGUCUGAAAGCACUUGAGGGAAUCCUCCCCUGGGAAAUAGGCAAGCUCGCUGAAAUUCUGCUGAGAGGACACAGGGACCUCCCUUCAUUGAACUCCCUCACAGGGAACAACUCUGGUGAGUAGAGAGGACUUAAAAAUAAGUGGAGACCGAGAGUCAGGAGUCUCUAAAAAAAGCUUGUUCUUCUAUCCCUUUUUGCCUCCCUUGCUGGAGUAGGUAAUACAAUAAUAGCUAGUAUUUAUAUAAGGCUCUAAAGUUUGCAAA